rnacentral:rRNA from 1 species
ACGGGAGGCAGCAGUGAGGAAUAUUGGUCAAUGGGCGGAAGCCUGAACCAGCCAAGUCGCGUGAGGGAAUAAGGCCCUACGGGUCGUAAACCUCUUUUGCCGGGGAGCAAGGGCCGGGACGAGUCCCGGUCCGGAGAGUACCCGGAGAAAAAGCAUCGGCUAACUCCGUGCCAGCAGCCGCGGUAAUACGGAGGAUGCGAGCGUUAUCCGGAUUUAUUGGGUUUAAAGGGUGCGUAGGCGGGCUUUUAAGUCAGCGGUAAAAAUUCGGGGCUCAACCCCGUCCGGCCGUUGAAACUGGGGGCCUUGAGUGGGCGAGAAGAAGGCGGAAUGCGUGGUGUAGCGGUGAAAUGCAUAGAUAUCACGCAGAACCCCGAUUGCGAAGGCAGCCUUCCGGCGCCCUACUGACGCUGAGGCACGAAAGUGCGGGGAUCGAACAGGAUUAGAUACCCUGGUAGUCCGCACAGUAAACGAUG